GGUGAGGUGUCCGAGUGGCUGAAGGAGCACGCCUGGAAAGUGUGUAAGCGUUUGUAGCGUUUCGAGGGUUCGAAUCCCUCUCUCACCGCCA
rnacentral:tRNA from 1 species